UCGGGUAUAGCAUAAAGGUAGUGCACCACAGCGCUGUCCGCAGGAUAUGGCUGCUAGGAUGUCGGGGUUCGAUUCCCCGUACUCGAA